AUUGAACGCUGGCGGCAGGCUUAACACAUGCAAGUCGAGCGGGGUGAUGGUGCUUGCACUAUCACUUAGCGGCGGACGGGUGAGUAAUGCUUAGGAAUCUGCCUAUUAGUGGGGGACAACAUCUCGAAAGGGAUGCUAAUACCGCAUACGUCCUACGGGAGAAAGCAGGGGAUCACUUGUGACCUUGCGCUAAUAGAUGAGCCUAAGUCGGAUUAGCUAGUUGGUGGGGUAAAGGCCAACCAAGGCGACGAUCUGUAGCGGGUCUGAGAGGCUGAUCCGCAACCGUGGAACUGGGACACGGCCCGGACUCCUACGGGAAGCAGACGUGGGGAAUAUUGGACAAUGGGGGGAACCCUGAUCCAGCCAUGCCGCGUGUGUGAAGAAGGCCUUAUGGUUGUAAAGCACUUUAAGCGAGGAGGAGGCUCUUUUGGUUAAUACCCAAGAUGAGUGGACGUUACUCGCAGAAUAAGCACCGGCUAACUCUGUGCCAGCCGCCGCCGUAA
rnacentral:rRNA from 1 species